rnacentral:rRNA from 1 species
UAUUUAUUAGAUAAAAAACCAAUGCCCUUCGGGGCUCCUUGGUGAUUCAUAAUAACUUAACGAAUCGCAUGGCCUUGCGCCGGCGAUGGUUCAUUCAAAUUUCUGCCCUAUCAACUUUCGAUGGUAAGAUAGUGGCUUACCAUGGUCUCAACGGGUAACGGGGAAUUAGGGUUCUAUUCCGGAGAGGGAGCCUGAGAAACGGCUACCACAUCCAAGGAAGGCAGCAGGCGCGCAAAUUACCCAAUCCCAAUUCGGGGAGGUAGUGACAAUAAAUACUGAUACGGGGCUCUUUCGGGUCUCGUAAUUGGAAUGAGUACAAUCUAAAUCCCUUAACGAGGAACAAUUGGAGGGCAAGUCUGGUGCCAGCAGCCGCGGUAAUUCCAGCUCCAAUAGCGUAUAUUAAAGUUGUUGCCGUUAAAAAGCUCGUAGUUGAACCUUGGACCUGGCUGAUCUGUCCUCCUAAUCGAGCGCACGGAUUCGGUCGGGUCUUUCCUUCUGGGGAGCCCUAUGCCCUUCACUGGGUGUAGUGGGGAACCAGGACUUUUACCUUGAAAAAAUUAGAGUGUUCAAAGCGGG